ACUCCCCUUAGAAACAUUGCAGGUGAGUCUACUGUGUCAUAUGUAUGUCAGUAAGUGACAGAGAGGAGAGAGACUAUGUCUGUGCUCAGUGUUCCUACCUGUGAAUAUCUAAAUGAUCAGUUGCCUAACACU